rnacentral:rRNA from 1 species
CCGGCACGGGUGGAGUAACACGUAUCCAACCCGCCGUCUACUCUUGGACAGCCUUCUGAAAGGAAGGAAUUAAAACAAGAUGGCAUCAUGAGUUCACAUGUUCACAUGAUUAAAGGUAUUCCGGUAGACGAUGGGGAUGCGUUCCAUUAGAUAGUAGGCGGGGUAACGGCCCACCUAGUCUUCGAUGGAUAGGGGUUCUGAGAGGAAGGUCCCCCACAUUGGAACUGAGACACGGUCCAA